rnacentral:rRNA from 1 species
UACGUAGGGUGCGAGCGUUAAUCGGAAUUACUGGGCGUAAAGCGUGCGCAGGCGGUGAUGUAAGACCGAUGUGAAAUCCCCGGGCUUAACCUGGGAACUGCAUUGGUGACUGCAUUGCUGGAGUAUGGCAGAGGGGGGCGGAAUUCCACGUGUAGCAGUGAAAUGCGUAGAGAAUGUGGAGGAACACCGAUGGCGAAGGCAGCCCCCUGGGCCAAUACUGACGCUCAUGCACGAAAGCGUGGGGAGCAAACAGG